CUGGUCAUAUUAACAAGAAGUACCAAACCCGUUGUUUUAACUGCAGGGACCUUUGACUUGACAUUGGAAACCUUCGUGAGGAUUAUCAAAUCUUCAUAUUCUUACAUGACCGUAUUAAACACAAUGUACAGCAAGUAAGCUUG
rnacentral:lncRNA from 1 species